rnacentral:tRNA from 1 species
GCCCCGGUCGUAUAGUCUGGCCUAGUAUGCCGGCCUAGUAAGCCGGAGAACCCGGGUUCAAAUCCCGGCCGGGGC